rnacentral:rRNA from 1 species
UACGUAGGGUGCAAGCGUUAAUCGGAAUUACUGGGCGUAAAGCGUGCGCAGGCGGUUAUGUAAGACAGAUGUGAAAUGCCCGGGCUUAACCUGGGAACUGCAUUUGUGACUGCAUGGCUAGAGUUUGGCAGAGGGGGGUAGAAUUCCACGUGUAGCAGUGAAAUGCGUAGAUAUGUGGAGGAACACCGAUGGCGAAGGCAGCCCCCUGGGUCAAGACUGACGCUCAUGCACG